CAAGCACUUCAUUGCCGUUGAUUCAUCAACCUCGGUGCCAGCAUUGGUCCCAGUUUCCUUGGGCUGAGCUAAGGGCCUGCUUGGAGCAAUUGUAGCUCGUGCCAUAGCUUCCUCAGGCUGAGAUGAUGGCCUACUUGCUGUAGUAGUAGCAUGUGCCACAGUUUCCUUUUUGGCUGGUGGAGUAGCAUAUACCGGGAUAGCCUGCCUAAUACAGACAGGUGGUGCAACUCGAACUGAACGGGCCUGCAUCAUUUGAGUUG
rnacentral:misc_RNA from 1 species